UACGUAGGGUGCAAGCGUUUGUCCGGAAUUAUUGGGCGUAAAGAGCUCGUAGGCGGUCUGUCGCGUCGCUGUGAAAACCCGGAGCUCAACUCCGGGCCUGCAGUCGAUACGGGCAAACUGGAGUGUUGCAGGGGAGACUGGAAUUCCUGGUGUAGCGGUGAAAUGCGCAGAUAUCAGGAGGAACACCGGUGGCGAAGGCGGGGUCUCUGGGCAACAACUGACGCUGAGGAGCGAAAGCGUGGGGAGCGAACAGG
rnacentral:rRNA from 1 species